rnacentral:rRNA from 1 species
UACAGAGGUCUCAAGCGUUGUUCGGAUUCAUUGGGCGUAAAGGGUGCGUAGGUGGCGUCGUAAGUAGGGUGUGAAAUCCCGGGGCUUAACCCCGGGACUGCAUUCCAUACUGCGGUGCUUGAGGACUGGAGAGGAGACUGGAAUUUACGGUGUAGCAGUGAAAUGCGUAGAGAUCGUAAGGAAGACCAGUGGCGAAGGCGGGUCUCUGGACAGUUCCUAACACUGAGGCACGAAGGCCAGGGGAGCAAACGGG